rnacentral:rRNA from 1 species
UGAGUAACCUGCCCUUAACUCUGGGAUAAGCCUGGGAAACUGGGUCUAAUACCGGAUAUGACUCCUCAUCGCAUGGGUGGGGGGUGGAAAGCUUUAUUGUGGUUUUGGAUGGACUCGCGGCCUAUCAGCUUGUUGGUGAGGUAAUGGCUCACCAAGGCGACAACGGGUAGCCGGCCUGAGAGGGUGACCCGGCCACACUGGGACUGAGACACGGCCCAGACUCCGUACGGGAGCAG